rnacentral:lncRNA from 1 species
AGAAACAGAGAGAGACUGAGACUGACUGACUGUACCUAAUCAUUUCCAUGGUUUCUUUCCUGUUAGACUGUGAGCUCCUCGUGGGCAGGGGCUGUGCUGGCCUUUCUUUGUGUCUGUAGUGAUCAACCCAGUGCCUGGUACCUAGGAGAAGCUUGAUAAGCACUUGGGGCUGGGGGUACAAAGACUAGCAGUACAGCCUCUGCCCACCAGGAGCUUACAUUCUCUCAGGGAGAAUACUACAGAGCACAUCACAUACAAAACAUACAGACGGUUCCUGGGAGGACACCAGCAGCUGGCAGGCUGGGGAAGGAGGAAACGUGGCGUUCUGGAAGGCAUUCCAAGGAUGGCGCCCAGGUAAGAGAGGAGGAAACAAACCCAGAGGGCCAAGAACAAGAAAGGCAGAGAAUUGGCACAAAGACCAUUGUUAUCUUCACAAUGCUGCUCUAAACUUUAGACCCUCUUCAGGUCUUGUCAUUAUCUGUGGCCAGUGAGGCCUCCCCAUUCUAGGGACCAGCCCCACCAAAGUAUAACCACCACCUCCCGGGGGCACCCAUUCCCUGCUGUUUAGAGUGUCCAUUAGGAAAGAUCAGAAAUGUUGGAUUUUUCCCAUGUUUCCCAUGAGGAAAACUGAGGGUUAAGGAAUACAUCCAGCAUCACACCUAGGAAAGCUUGGGACCCUCAGACAUUCACAGGAUCACAGACUCAGGGCUAGGAGGAACCUCGGAGAGCACCUGGUGGAAACUGAGGCUUUGACGGUGUGAACCCCUCCCCCAAGCAUGUUGGACCCUCAAGACCCGAGAAAGGCCUAAGACCUCGAUUGGCCAAUCAGGAGAGACAUUUUUGGCCCUCUUUGAGCUUAAUCUACCAUAAUGCCCUGCGUGCUCUGGAGUAACAGAUAUGCUUUGCUUUGCUCUCUCAGUGAAUCCAAAUGCCCCCUGCUGUGUCAGCAACUACAAAGCCGGAUGAAGCUGACCAUGAGCCUUCUUCUGUUUAUGAAUGCCAAGGACAAGGCGCCUUGAACUAGACACCAUCUUAAAUAAUGGGACUUUUCUUAGGUUAGGUUAUGUUAUGUUAAUGAUGGAAGAAACACAGAUAUCUUGGAUCUAUAAUU